CGAGGGAGGAGGCGGGGCUACGGCUGCACAUGCGCAGAGGGAUCCCGGAAUCCCCUUCCCAGAGCGCCGCGCGGGGAGCCAGAAGGAGUCAAGACUACGUUUCCCGUAGGCCUCGGCGUCCACUGUUGAGGUCGCUCUUUCAGCGUCCCCGCUGGUCAGGAACCUGGGGAGUGAUGUUCUCUCCGAGCCCGAGCCAGAGCCCGAAAAGGUUAAGGGUUAAACCUGAGCUCUGCCGCCAAAUGCAAAGGAUGGUUUUCUAUUGGCUCACGAUUGAAAUAGCAUUUUUUGGCCCUGCUGUGUGAUUCUUCCUGGGAAAAUGGUCCCGCUUCAUACUCUGGAAGUUGAAGAGGCCAAAUACCUUCUCCCGAUGACCACUGAAAGCUGAGAUCUGGACGACUGACCUGGAAUCAGCCAGUGGGUCCUCUCACCCAGGGUGUUCCAUCCUGAGGGCAUGGCAGAAAAUCCGAGGACACUGAGAGUCACUCUUGGUGUUGGCAGCGGUGCUGAGUGUCCAGUGGUGUCCACGGCUUUCACCUGACCACACUGCUCCUGGGAGCUGGCCCUGGCGUGUCCUCAGCUGCCCGGCCUCUCUCGGUUCCCAUCUCUCCUCUGAGCCGGCUCCCUGUGGAGUCGCUGAGCUCUCUGAGACCCUUCUAUGAACCCUCUCUUCUGCUUAGGUUAGCCAGGCAGUUUCUGUUGUUUGCCAUCAAGAACUCUGACUGAUCCAGAGGGUCACAUGGAGUAUAACGCAGCAACAAAACCAUUUAGACUCAGCUAUCGUUUAUGGACUGCAGACAUUGUGCUAAAUGCUUUAGAUAAAUGACGUCACCAAGUCCUCCAAACGACAUGGUGAGGCAGGCGUGUGAGUCUGUUCUUUCAAGUAUCAUUUUAAGGGCCUUCUCUUCUGUGAGGGCUUUUCUGAGCUCUGCUGCCUCUUGCAAGUGGACUUAAUUCUUCCUCCGUGCCCAUUCUAUGCCCUAUAUGUAUAAUAUUACAUAUAAAAAGUGCAUAUAUAAUAUCAUAAUAUAUAAUGUAUUCUAUAUAAUAAUAUGUAAUAUAUAAAUAUAUGUAUUUUAUUUCCUU
rnacentral:lncRNA from 1 species